rnacentral:rRNA from 1 species
AUAGCUUUAGGGCUAGCCUCAAGGUGAGAGAUACGGAGGUAGAGCACUGAAUGUCCUAGGGGGUAUUGCACCUACCGAAGACUAUUAAACUCCGAAUGCCGUCAUCUUAUACUUGGGAGUCAGACUGUGGGUGAUAAGAUUCAUAGUCGAAAGGGCAACAGCCCAGAUCGUCAGCUAAGGUCCCUAAAUGUAAGUUAAGUGGUAAAGGAUGUGGGAUUGCACAGACAACCAGGAUGUUGGCUUAGAAGCAGCCACUCAUUCAAAGAGUGCGUAAUAGCUCACUGGUCGAG